rnacentral:sRNA from 1 species
CAGGAAAAAUAAACCUAAUAAAAAAGGACAAAGGAUAUGAAUAGGCAGUUGACAAGAAGAGCCUAACCCAGUGUCUAACAAUUACAGAGAAAAAAUGCUCAAAUUCAUUAGUGGCCAAGGAAAUUUGAAUUAAAUUACUGGAAGAAUUUAGUCCAGUUGUUGAGAGACUUGGAUUUGAUGAAAAUUUUGUGGAUCUAACAGAAAUGGUUGAGAAGAGACUACAGCAGCUGCAAAGUGAUGAACUUUCUGUGAUGACUGUGUCGGGUCAUGUAUACAAUAAUCAGUCUAUAAACCUGCAUGACAUCUUGCACAUCAGACUACUUGUUGGAUCUCAGAUUGCAGCAGAGAUGCGGGAAGCCAUGUAUAAUCAGUUGGGGCUCACUGGCUGUGCUGGAGUGGCUUCUAAUAAACUGUUGGCAAAAUUAGUUUCUGGUGUCUUUAAACCAAAUCAACAAACAGUCUUAUUACCUGAAAGUUGUCAACAUCUUAUUCAUAGUUUGAAUCACAUAAAGGAAAUACCUGGUAUUGGCUAUAAAACUGCCA